AGGACGAACGCUGGCGGCGUGCUUAACACAUGCAAGUCGAGCGGAAAGGCCCUUCGGGGUACUCGAGCGGCGAACGGGUGAGUAACACGUGAGCAAUCUGCCCCUAGCUUCGGGAUAGCUCCGGGAAACCGGAAUUAAUACCGAAUACGACUACGGCCGACAUCGGCUGUGGUGGUAAAGUUUUUCGGCUAGGGAUGAGCUCGCGGCCUAUCAGCUUGUUGGUGAGGUACGCUCACCAAGGCGACGACGGGUA
rnacentral:rRNA from 1 species